GACUUGAACGCUUGCCGCGAAAGGUCUAACCAGCCUCCCAGAGUUUUCCCACCCUCUAUACCGUCGACAUCAAAGGACAGAUUUCCCAUGGCGCGUGACAAGAUUGCUUUGAUUGGUUCAGGUCAGAUCGGCGGCACGCUCGCCCACCUCGUCGGGCUCAAGGAGCUGGGUGACGUGGUGAUGUUCGACAUCGCCGAAGGCAUCCCCCAGGGCAAGUCGCUCGACAUCGCGCAGUCCUCGCCGGUCGACGGCUUCGACGCCAACUUCACCGGCGCCAAUUCCUAUGAAGCCAUCGAAGGCGCCAGCGUGGUGAUCGUCACCGCCGGCGUGCCGCGCAAGCCUGGCAUGAGCCGCGAUGAUCUUCUCAGCAUCAAUCUGAAGGUCAUGGA
rnacentral:misc_RNA from 1 species